AAAGAGAGGAGGCAAAAGGGUUUUGCGAUAAAACCCAUCUGCAGGAGGCCUCGCUCAAAUCAUGGCUGGUUUCUUGAGUGGUUUGGAGAGUAGGGUUUUUAUUAGAAAUGAAAAAACAAUAAUGGGUUCAAUUUCUCAGUUUU